AAAAAACUUGCGCAGCGAUUUGAUAAUGCGAUGGUGAUGCGCACAAACAGCUGAUCUCUGAUCUGGUUACGAAAUGUAGACGCAUAUUUCUUGUACUUAAUUCAUUAUGGGGACUUCAAACGCAGUUUCCCAGAUCUCAGUUGAAGUGUUUAUUGUGACCUAAGAAAAACAACGCAAUCUAGAUGUUGUGUAGAUCAACCAUCCCACACAAGUGAGAUCACUCUUGGACAAUUUAGCCUGUCGCUGCUCGGUUUGCAGACUCCCUCCGUCAUGGGAUCAGUCAAGUCUCCAUCCUCUGAGGUGCAGCAGCUGUUGCAGAGCCAGGCCUCGGUCUUGGACCAGCUGAUCCAGGGUGGUGGGCCAUUUGACCUGCUGCUUCAGCAGGUUCUGCAGCAACAGGACGGGGGCAGAGAGCAAAGCACAGACGUCUCCAAACAACAACUGAAGGCUUCGGACUCUCUCCUGUGUGAUGUCAUCAAGAGAAUGGGGGCGGAGCUAGAGGGGGGUUCCUCGCAGUGCGGCCUGCAGGAAACAGAACUUGAGGUUUGUCUGGUCUCCCGCAUGGAGCAAGUCCUUGAGGCGUGCAUCCUGAGGCUGAGGGGCAAAAUCUGCUCCCUGGAGGCUCUGACUGCUCUCUCAAUGGUCUUCUCUCCUAGCAUCAGCUUCAACAGAACAGAAACAUGGUCUUCUCGAUCAGUCUACUCCAAGACCUCGGUUCUAGCCCAGACCAUUAACUACUUUGGCAGUUGUGACGGUUUUGAGUUGGUGCGACGUCAGCUAAGGAAUGCUAGAGAUCUCUCCAUCGGCCACAUCGCUGCCCUGCUCAGACCCUUUGGUCAGUGUUACCCACAACUAUCAGCAGACACGGUCAAGAGCUACUUCCUACCCACGGUGGAUCUAGUGUGUUCUCACCUCCUCUCCUGCUCGGAUCGUCAGCUGUUCCAGCAAGACAUCCCUGCCGGGGAGCUACCUUCAUGUCUUAUCGGGCCCCGUGCAGCCUAUGUCAUAGUUGAGUCUGUGAUGAAUCUUCUGUCGGUGGUCAAAUCUGAAGAGGUGGAUGCAGAGGUCAAGGUGCAAUACUGGCAGGAAACUAUUCUGACCAGGCUUAAACAUGCAACAGAAGAGGAUGCGAAAUCUGCCUCUAUAGCAACCAGAAACGACUCUCCAACAACAGACUUACAGCGGGAGAAAUUGCUUCACGCUUGCAUGCCAAAGAGUCUCAAAGACACGGACGCUAAAGAUGGUGGCUUGCAUCCAGAGACUAAUACACCUGGCUGUAGUGGUGAGGAUAAACCCUCCACGUCAGGACACGAGGCAGCGCAAGAGGCUUUGGAGGUUAAUAUCUUACCGUACGGCCCUUUGACGUACGCUCACAGUGAUUCCUCCUCUAGUGACCAUGAUGCCCACCCUCACGCGCUGCCUUCGAUCAGCGUCAUUCCCCAAGAGGUGAUAAUCCGUGGACAGGGACCCUAUCAUGAGGUCAUCCCAGUGGGCACUAUGGCCUAUCAGAGUGAUACCUCCGCAGGACCGUCGGUCGUCGUGGGCCUGGGGACCCUCCCUCAUCGCAACGACUCCAGCGACAGUUCUUCCCUGGUUUCCUCGGUGCCACGCUCGGCCAGCGAGCUGGGUAAUAGCUGCCGGGUGUGCUUCGAAGCUGAGACCUCGCCCAAGAACCGGCUGAUACGCCCCUGCCGCUGCGCGGGUUCAUCCGCCAGCAUUCACCGCCAGUGCUUGGUCAAGUGGAUUCACAUCUCGGGCAAUCGACGAUGCGAGGUCUGCAACGCGAGGUUCAGCUACGUGCCCCUCUCGGAGCGGAUGCGGGGAUUCAUGGAGAAGUUCCGACAGAAUAGGAGAUGGCGCAAUGCAGCCUUUGCCGUUUUAGUCGGUCUGGUGGUCAUACUGUACCUCAUCAUCUUUGCAGUGUUUCCCGGUGGCAUCAUGAACGUAUAAUGACAACCUUCGUUAGAGAGAAGUCUGGGAUUUACUCCUGGCACCCGGUAUGCACGUACACAAAUGCAACGCAAAGAACCAGUGGAUGGUCUGGUACUGUAGAUCCAUUAUGUGGAUUGGCAGUCCUGUUUUGAGUACUCACAGUAUAUGAUGUUACUGAAUGUCAACAAGCUCACCUCACUUCUCUUGUAUUUUUCAUACUUCCUGUUUAUUGCCUUGUUUUCUUUUUCCAUUCUGAAAUUUCUGUGUACAAAUGUAUAUGUAUAGUUAGGAAAGAUUCUAACAAUUAUUUUGUGUUUGUUGGGUGGGGGCCAGAAUGGGCCCAAUUUCACGGCGCUGCUAAGCACACAAUUUUUGGCUUACAGAGCCUCCGUCUAUUUCAUGGAGACUGUAAGCAUAAGCACAGCAAAAGGCACGCUUACUUCGGAGGAAAAAUUUGCUUAACUUAGUGACGUAACAAUAGAAAUCUCCAUGCACGCGCGACCGUUAACACAUCCACACCGUGAAAUAAUGCUUAAGCUAGGUUAGCAAAUUGCUCUGCUAUGCUAAGCACAACUUUUCUGCUAACUGUUCAGCAGCGCCGUGACAUUGGGCGCUGUUUCUGAGAGGUCUCUUGGCAAGAGGAGUAUUUUACUUUUACUUGGAUGGAAAAAGACCAGGAACUCGUCAGCACAAAAAUGUGCUAAGCUCAGGAAAAAUAGCUUAGCAAAAACAGAUCACCAUCCAAAUUGUCAUUCAAUGUGUACUGCAUGUGACUGGUACUCAGCUGAGUUUUGCUAAGCGCGUUAAUUUGCUAAUUAAGAUUUUCUGCUACGUGGUUCCAUGGAAUUGCACCCAGUUGUCAAGUUCAUUUGUACUUAUCACCCUAACCGUGUGGUCUGGUGACAAAAAAUUUCUUUGAAAUUGAACAUGAUGUUGAUGUGUGCAGCAUAGAGAUGGAAGAAGAAAGAAACUGAGGAUCCCGACUUUUUGAUACUUUCUCUGAGGAUUGUAACAUAUUUUGUUUAUAUUUUAGAAUCAGAGCUGAUACCAACCAACCAACCAACCAUAAUAGGAUGGUACCCUGGCCUCUUUCUAAUCGAUGUCAACAUUGCAAACUGCAGUAUUGCAUACAUUUUCCCUCAAAAAUCUCCAGUAGAGACAUGAAACAAAGUGAGAAGACAGUUUUGCUGACAAUACGUUUGUAAAAAAAGGCGUCAAGAUUCUACUUUCUUUCCCCAAACCUAAACACUGCCCUCUUUCAACGACAUUCUUGUUGGAUUUCAACAAUGCUAACUCGAUAGGUAAAUGAAA
rnacentral:misc_RNA from 1 species